UGCGGAGGGAUCAUUACCGAGUUUACAACUCCCAAACCCAAUGUGAACCAUACCAAACUGUUGCCUCGGCGGGGUCACGCCCCGGGUGCGUCGCAGCCCCGGAACCAGGCGCCCGCCGGAGGGACCAACCAAACUCUUUUCUGUAGUCCCCUCGCGGACGUUAUUUCUUACAGCUCUGAGCAAAAAUUCAAAAUGAAUCAAAACUUUCAACAACGGAUCUCUUGGUUCUGGCAUCGAUGAAGAACGCAGCGAAAUGCGAUAAGUAAUGUGAAUUGCAGAAUUCAGUGAAUCAUCGAAUCUUUGAACGCACAUUGCGCCCGCCAGUAUUCUGGCGGGCAUGCCUGUCCGAGCGUCAUUUCAACCCUCGAACCCCUCCGGGGGGUCGGCGUUGGGGACCUCGGGAGCCCCUAAGACGGGAUCCCGGCCCCGAAAUACAGUGGCGGUCUCGCCGCAGCCUCUCCUGCGCAGUAGUUUGCACAACUCGCACCGGGAGCGCGGCGCGUCCACGUCCGUAAAACACCCAACUUCUGAAAUGUUGACCUCGGAUCAGGUAGGAAUACCCGCUGAACUUAAGCA
rnacentral:rRNA from 1 species